rnacentral:rRNA from 1 species
CCUACGGGUGGCAGCAGUGGGGAAUAUUGCACAAUGGGGGAAACCCUGAUGCAGCGACGCCGCGUGAGUGAAGAAGUAUUUCGGUACGUAAAGCUCUAUCAGCAGGGAAGAAAAUGACGGUACCUGACUAAGAAGCCCCGGCGAACUAAGUGCCAGCAGCCGCGGUAAUACGUAGGGGGCAAGCGUUAGCCGGAUUUACUGGGUGUAAAGGGAGCGUAGACGGCAGCGCAAGUUUGGAGUGAAAUCCCAUGGCUUAACCAUGGAACUGCUUUGGAAAUUGUGCAGCUAGAGUGCAGGAGAGGUAAGCGGAAUUCCUAGUGUAGCGGUGAAAUGCGUAGAUAUUAGGAGGAACACCAGUGGCGAAGGCGGCUUACUGGACUGUAACUGACGUUGAGGCUCGAAAGCGUGGGGAGCAAACAGGAUUAGAUACCCGAGUAGUC